rnacentral:rRNA from 1 species
GACGAACGCUGGCGGCGUGCUUAACACAUGCAAGUCGAACGGUAAGGCCUUUCGGGGUCCACGAGUGGCGAACGGGUGAGUAACACGUUGGUGAUCUGCCCUGCACUUCGGGAUAAGCCCGGGAAACUGGGUCUAAUACCGGAUAGGACUGCGCGGUGCAUGCCGUGUGGUUGUAAGAUUUAUCGGUGCAGGAUGGGCCCGCGGCCUAUCAGCUUGUUGGUGGGGUAAUGUCCUACCAAGGCGACGACGGGUAGCCGGACUGAGAGGGCGACCGGCCACACUGGGACUGAGACACGGCCCAGACUGCUACGGGAGGCAGCGGUGGGGAAUAUUGCACAAUGGGCGCAAGCCUGAUGCAGCGACGCCGCGUGGGGGAUGACGGCCUUCGGGUUGGAAACCUCUUUCGGCAGGGACGAAGCGUGAGUGACGGUACCUGCAGAAGAAGCAACGGCCAACUACGUG